UACAGAGGUCUCAAGCGUUGUUCGGAUUCAUUGGGCGUAAAGGGUGCGUAGGUGGCGGGGUAAGUUGGAUGUGAAAUCCCGGGGCUCAACCCCGGAACUGCAUUCAAUACUGCCUUGCUAGAGUACUGGAGAGGAGAUUGGAAUUUACGGUGUAGCAGUGAAAUGCGUAGAUAUCGUAAGGAAGACCAGUGGCGAAGGCGGAUCUCUGGACAGUUACUGACACUGAGGCAACGAAGGGCCCAGGGGGAGCAAAACGGGG
rnacentral:rRNA from 1 species